rnacentral:tRNA from 1 species
AAAAAGCUAGUUAAACAAUAACAUUAAAUUGUCAAAUUAAAAUUACUUUGAGUGCCUUUUA